AGUGAACGCUGGCGGUAGGCCUAACACAUGCAAGUCGAACGGCAGCACAGUAAGAGCUUGCUCUUACGGGUGGCGAGUGGCGGACGGGUGAGGAAUACAUCGGAAUCUACUUUUUCGUGGGGGAUAACGUAGGGAAACUUACGCUAAUACCGCAAACGACCUACGGGUGAAAGCAGGGGAUCUUCGGACCUUGCGCGAUUGAAUGAGCCGAUGUCGGAUUAGCUAGUUGGCGGGGUAAAGGCCCACCAAGGCGACGAUCCGUAGCUGGUCUGAGAGGAUGAUCAGCCACACUGGAACUGAGACACGGUCCAGACUCCUACGGGAGGCAGCAGUGGGGAAUAUUGGACAAUGGGCGCAAGCCUGAUCCAGCCAUACCGCGUGGGUGAAGAAGGCCUUCGGGUUGUAAAGCCCUUUUGUUGGGAAAGAAAAGCAGCAGGUUAAGACCCCGCUGUUCUGACGGUACCCAAAGAAUAAGCACCGGCUAACUUCGUG
rnacentral:rRNA from 1 species